UCUCCGACCGGCAUCCAGGUCCCUCGCUGACCCUCGCCCUUGUGCAGACCCCUCUAGGACACCGGGAUUCUACCCUCGCCCCACAGGCCCUAGGUCCCGGCAGGGACACCUGUGCGUGUGUGGAGAGGGCACGCCACGGCCAUGGGACUUGGUGCCCCUUCCUUCUGACGCAUGGUGGUCACAUUGCUGAUUGUCAGGAAGGACUCCGUCCCCCCCCGCCCCCCGCCACCUGGCUCUGGGGUGACACUGGCUCUAGGGUGACACCGCUAUAGUCACUGCCCUGCAGUCCUUCCAGCACAGUGCCAUCCCUCAGCCCUGCCAUCGAUUCUUCCUGCCCCCCACCUCCAGGAGCUUCCUUCACCGAGAACUCAGAAGCCCUUGAACCUCAUACAGGAUCUUGCUGGCCCUGAAUUCACCAUGGAUCCCAUGCUGGACUAAAACUCAAGGUGGUUCUCCUGCCUCAGCCUUCCAUGUUCUGAGAUUAUAGAUGUACAGCACCACGACUGUCUCUAAGUAUAUGAUGACUUAAAUACAACACAGUUAUUUAAACCUAUUUCUAGAACUUUACACUUCACAUCUCAGGCCUGGGUUUACUUCGGAGAACUGAAAUCUGAAUAAGGUGUCUUCUGUAUGCCAGUCCCUGCAUUCCUGCCUUGUGCACCCUUCCCCUGGCGUGAGUCUCCCCCCAGGAUUCACGACUUAUCCCCCAGGUCGCACAUCCUGGGAGAGCACGGAGCGUCUCCAGGGCAGGAUCUGAGGCUCCUUCCGUGCAGCGGGAGGGGCUCAGGCCAUACGUUUCCCUGCAGAUGCCCGAAUCGGAUCAGGAAUCGUCCUCCUUCCAGCACGAUCGCGCCCCUCUGCGCGUCCGCUGGUCCGUGGGUGUCUCAGGCAGGUGUCUCUGCCAAGGCAGCCGUGCACUGCGCCAUGCCACGGGGAAGGCAGCCUCAGGCAGCUCCUUCUUGCACUGCUAGGAGGGGCGCCGCUGGAUCCAGUGGUAGCUCUGCUUCUGUUUGUUUGGGGUCUUUUUUGGAGGAACCUGCACGCUAAUUUCCACAGUGGCUGUUUCUGCCCCACUCUUUGUUUUCCUGUUCUUGAUGGGAGCCACUCCAAAUAGGGUAAAAUGGAAUCAAACUGUAGUGUAGAUUUGUCUGUCCUUAGUAGUGGAAAAAUGACAUUCAUUUUGGAGACUUGGUGCACACAUACACCAUAUCGAUUUCCUGACCUGAUCUCUUUGAGAUCAGGGUCUUGCUUAGUUGCCCAGGUUGGUCUGGAACUUGCCAUCCUCUUGCCUCAGCCUUCCAAGUAGCUAGGAUUACAGAUGUGUAACACUGAAUCCAGUGGCUGUAUUUAUUGAUAGGAUUAUUUCUUUUUUUUGCUAUUCUUUUUUUUGGUCUUUUUCAUUUUUAUCGGUACCGGGGAUCGAACUCACGACCGCCUGCUUGCAAGGCAGGUACUUAUGCCGCUGAGCUAAAUCCCCAGCCCCUAUAGGAUUAUUUCCAAAAGAUGAAAAGUAUUUCCAAAACAUGAGAAGUAUAAAAUAAAAAGGGGCCUUUAUUUGAGAACACAGAGAGAGAUGACCGGCACCCCCCACCGCUGGAGUCCGUGGAACACGGAGGCACAUAAGUAGCCUCGGUUUGGGAUGGAACCUAAAGAGGGCAUUAGGGAUGCGCAGGUAGCCCAUUGGUCCUAGGUUUGGCGCCAUAGGUAAAUUUCCAGGGGCGGGAAGAUGGCGUCACAGGUAAAUUCCUAGGGGUGGGGGAGAUAGGACCUUCCUGGUUCCAGUUGAGGCUUUCCUGGUUACAGAGUCCUGUCUGGGCCAAAACCCUUUCAUAUCCCAUCUUAUGAUUAUUAUUAUGAAAAGGGGCGAAGAUUUCUCUCUUUAACUACUUCCUGCUGGCAGAGGGUGCUGUACUGGAGCCUAGGGGAGUUGACAGGAUGAUGGUUGAUGCCCAGGUAGAAGCUGGUGCCAGGUGUUUUAGCCAGGACAACUUCACUGGUGAAUGCACGUAUGUUAGACUGGAAAAACAAAGAGACAAUAUGUUAUGAGGAGACAUGGCACUGUCAUAUUUAAGGACCCAGGUGAGGUAGAGGGAAAGGUGCCUUUGAUUUAGACAUGUUCCACGGUAAGGCAGAAUUCUGAAAAUUAAGGGUGAGGUUAGGAGAGAUGAUGUUAUAAGAGGUGAUUACUCCCCCAUCUGAAAGCAUAAAAGUUAAGAGAGUAGGUGUAUAAAACUUGUCUCUGGUCCAGGAGUUGAACUGGAAAAAAUAGAGGGAGCAGGGAAGGCGGUGGCUGUACCAGUAUAGGGAAGGUAAGGGAUGUCACCUUUAACCAGACAGCUGAAGGUAGAAAGAACUGCAACUGUUAUCAUAUAGAACAUUAUGAAGAUUAUUUUACGCAUGAUGUGGGAGUCUUUAGGAAAGACUGUCAAGAGUCCUGCUGUAAAAAUGAUCAUUAAUAGAAUGUAAGGAAUUAGGAACCAAAGUGGAUAACAAAACAUGACUUAGUCUGUUAACUGUGGCCGUGAGGCCUUUGUGAGACGGAGACAGGUGGGCGACAGAAGAUGAGUUGACCACUCAGAAUGAUCAGAUUUAGGGCUGGAAGGGCACCUCUUAGCCUGAGUGAUGUGAAACCAGGAUGGCAGUCUAGCAACUUUGACUGCUGUAGGGGUUACCAAGAAUAUCAGGUAUGGGUCGCUGUAACCUGGUUGUAGUUCUUGGAAUUAUUUGCUGCAACAGAACUUUAGCAAGUAUAUCAGCAGUUUCCCUGGUUGUGAGAAAGGCUUUUAUGUAUCCUGAAAAAGUAUAAACAAAGUGAGAAGACAAAAAUGUAUCUGUCAGUCUUGACUAGGGUUACCUGAGAAAUUGGUGAAUAAGAAAGGAAGGGGGUGGUCUUACAUCACUGAGGUUUACUAGCGAUAACAGGUGGAAGCUGUUGAGGUCUCAGUGUGUCUAAGUUAGCCUGUAUAUUUAGGACUGGGACCUGUAUGAAAUAGGCCCUGUUUGUAAAUGGCAUAGGUUGACCAUCAAUAUCCCGUCAUAGAGACUGAGGACUUAAUAUAGCAGCCUGAAAACUCAGGAAGAACUCUGUAUCCAUGACUAGCAAGAAAAUUAAGAAGACUGGCUGAGUGGUGUAUGGCUAACAUAUGGGAUUGAGAACAUAAUAGAAGGUCGUGUAUGUAUUGAAGGAGAACAUUAGGUUUGAGAUCAAGUUCUGUGAGGUCAGUAGCGAGAGCCUGACUAAAGAAGUGGGGACUGUCUCUGAACCCUUGGGGGAGCACUGUCCAAGUAAGUUGUUGAGACCUGAGAGUGUCUGGGUCAGUCUAUGUAAACGCAAAUAGGUUUUGGCAGUCAGGGUGUAGGGGGAUAGUGAAGAAGGCAUCUUUAAGAUCUAUAACUGUAAAGUGUGUGGUGGAGGGAGGGAUAUGAGAGAGCAUGGUAUAGGGAUUUGGCACCACUGGGUGAGUGGGGGUAACAGCACUGUUAAUUACUCUAAGGUCCUGUACCAGGUAAUAGGACCCAUCAGGCUUGAGUACCAGGAGAAUGGGAGUAUUGUGGGGUGAAUGGGUAGGUUUAAGAAAACCAUUGUCUAAAAGCCGCUUAAUUAUGGGUUUAAGUCCCCUUAAAUGUUGGGGAGCUAUAGGGUAUUGGGGAACACAAAGAAAAAUUGAGGGAUCCCUGAGAUGGAUUAAAACAGGCAUGGCAUGUGUAGCCAGAGUGGGAUUGGAUGUGUCCAAACCAUGGGGUCAACCAGAGAAGGAGGAAGGGGAGGGAAUGGCUUUGUGAUGCAUUGUGAGGCUGUUUGGAGGAUUAGGGCUGUGGGGAGAGAGAAAGUGAAGGAAAAAUUAAGCUUUUGAAGAAGGUCUCUACCUAAAAGGGGUGUGGACAUGUUGGUAAAGAAAAGAGUCUGGAAUCUACAUGGGACAGGCCCAGUCUGCAAAGGUUGAUUCGGCUGGCCGUCACCACCCACAACAGAAAUCAAGGACUUGCUACAAGGUCCUGAAAAUUCAGGGAGUACACUAUAAGUCGCCCCCAUAUCCACAAGCAGAGAUGUUAUCUUAACUGAGACCUCCAGUGAGACUUGGGGCUCCAACAGGGUUACUGGAGUGGGGGCUGAGCCCUGAGCCCCAUCAAUCUUCCGCAGCAAGUCUGAGCAGGUCAGUCAGUGACGAAUCUGGCACUGACGGAGUCUCCUGUGUGGGCGAGGGGUUAGAGAAUGGCUUACCCACUCACUGGUGGCUAGGAUAGUCAUUCUUCCAAUGCCCCUUAACGUUGCAGUAUGGACAUGGUCCUAGAGGAAUGCCAGGGUUAGGGUAAUCUUUCGCCUAGUGUCCUUGUUUGCUGCAUUUGAAGCAUGGUCCGGGCGGGACUUGGGCAGCCACACCUUGUUGCGGAUUUCUUGUCUUGGGACCUCUGAGUGCCACUGCUAAGAAAUCAGACUGAUAUUUAGCAAACUUUAAUUUUUGAACUUGCUUUUCUUCUUUUUGAACCUUAUUUCUAUUGUUGAAGACACGAAAGGCUAAUUUAAGUAGAUCCCCUUGUGGAGUUUGAGGGCCAUUUUCAACCUUUUGUAAUUUUGCACAAAUAUCAGGAGCAGACUGUGAAAUAAAAUAAGAGUUAAUAACAA